rnacentral:tRNA from 1 species
GGGGCUGUAGCUCAGUCGGGAGAGCGCGUCGUUCGCAAUGACGAGGUCAGGGGUUCGAUUCCCCUCGGCUCCACCA